AUGUUGACAGUGGCACCAGGACCCUGACCUCUAGGGAUGCCCCCAUGCCCUCAUCAUCAACCACCAGUCCACUGUGCUGUCUUGGCAUGCUGCUAUUAAUGCAGCCUGACAAUUUCAGGGCACAUCCCAGACUGUGAGUAUGCUGUCGCCUCACUGGCCCAGAGGAAACGACAGCAGUAUGCCAAAACCAAAAAGCAGGGGAGUACCACCAGCAGCAGACCACUGAGAUCACUUUCCUGCCUGAACUUCAGUAACCCUGUACACCGAGCGUGCAUUAACCUGGAGUGGAGCACGCAAUGAAUCUUGGGAUAGUCUCGGCUAUGAAGGAUUCAUUUGUUCUGCAGAGAAAUAAGGACUCAUUUUGAAGCUUCGGUUGCAUCUGAAAUUACUAAAAUGCUGCCUUCGGAGACAGCUGUCAAAGGCAUGAAGGAAUCAAGCAAGCUUUUCGAGAGGUGUUUUGACAUCAGAGGCAUUGUACAAGCGAAGCCAAAAUCAAGAAUAGCGCCUGACAAGAGGAUCCACAUCGUCUCGCAGCACAAAGUAUGACAACGUAAGGAAUACAAAGAGACGGAAUAUAAAGACUGAUAGUAAGUGCUGUGAUUUUCAGGAUUUUUUUUAUUUUAGUAUAAGUGAGUGGGGCUGCUUUAAACGCACGAGUCAUUCGCUCAUCUC